rnacentral:rRNA from 1 species
UGGGGAAUAUUGGACAAUGGGGGCAACCCUGAUCCAGCAAUGCCGCGUGUGUGAAGAAGGUCUUCGGAUUGUAAAGCACUUUCGACGGGGACGAUGAUGACGGUACCCGUAGAAGAAGCCCCGGCUAACUUCGUGCCAGCAGCCGCGGUAAUACGAAGGGGGCUAGCGUUGCUCGGAAUGACUGGGCGUAAAGGGCGUGUAGGCGGUUUACACAGUCAGAUGUGAAAUCCCCGGGCUUAACCUGGGAGCUGCAUUUGAUACGUGUAGACUAGAGUGUGAGAGAGGGUUGUGGAAUUCCCAGUGUAGAGGUGAAAUUCGUAGAUAUUGGGAAGAACACCGGUGGCGAAGGCGGCAACCUGGCUCAUGACUGACGCUGAGGCGCGAAAGCGUGGGGAGCAAACAGGAUUAGGAUACCCUGGUAGUCCACGCUGUAAAACGAUGUGUGCUAGAUGUUGGGGUAACUUUUGUUA